rnacentral:lncRNA from 10 species
AUCAGAGCAUGCCUAAGAGGACAGGGGAAAAGCAGGCGCUGAGACCACCAGCGGCCUGAAGGGAGAUGUUCACAUGGAUCGAAUACACUCACUGGAGGGAGCACUUUGUGACAGCAGAAAGAACACCAAUCCCGGGCAGGAGACCAAAGAUCUAAGUCAAACACAACAAGAGAGCAGUACAUUGGGGCCAGCCACUCACCAUCAGCCUUGAUUUCCUCAUCAGUCAAACAAAGGGUGGUCGCUAAUGAACGCUUCUAGUUUUCACGUUCUGCGUCAGUGGUUCUUGUUCAGACCUCGAGGAAUCUGGAAGAGACCAUGGAGAGACGGCUGGUCACCUGCCAGGGUUGGAUUCUAUUCCCAGCAGUUUCUCCUCAGUGCAGGACUUUGCCUCUGAAGGGAGUUUGGGGUUUUUUGUUUCUGGAGUUCAUGGGCCCCAGAAUGCCCCAGAUACAUUCCCAAUAAUUGGAAUCUCCAGCCCACAUCACAGAUUCAACUGAGACUCAGCUAAGGGAAUGAGCAACACCCGAAGUGCCAGAAACAGCUCCUGCAGAAAAUGUGGCCACACCGACCUCCAAGUCUCUGUCCUCCAGGCCAAAAUACAGAAGGCUUGAAACACCGUGGAUAAUGGCUGGGCAGAGAACAACGAACCGGACUGUCUUUCUCUCACAAGUGUUUAUGGAAGUCUGGCAGUCCGUCUUUAAGUAAAUAGAUUUGUUUUAAUGGAGCAAUCUAUCAAAUAAGCAGGGCUGCUGAGAAGGGGGGAAGGAAGAUACAGUGCUGCUCCCUCGCCCUUGGGAGCCAUUUCUUUAAGGAUAACAAAUGCGAGUGAGGUAGUGAUACUCAAAGCAGGAAAAAUAAUAGCCUGUGGCUUAGGAUGGUCUCAUCUAAACUCAACGUGUGGAUGGGUUUUGUGUGUUUAAACAGGCAGCUCUGCAUCUCAAAAACACGGAAGAAGG